rnacentral:rRNA from 1 species
CGCGUAGGCGGGAUUGCAAGUCAGAUGUGAAAUGCCAGGGCUUAACCCUGGAGCUGCAUUUGAAACUGUAAUUCUUGAGUAUCGGAGAGGCAGGCGGAAUUCCUAGUGUAGCGGUGAAAUGCGUAGAUAUUAGGAGGAACACCAGUGGCGAAGGCGGCCUGCUGGACGACAACUGACGCUGAGGCGCGAAAGCGCGGGGAGCAAACAG